AUGGCAAAGUCAAAAAAGAGCAAGGAAAAUAAUAUAGUAGGGAGUGUUGUUACUCGUCAGGUGAAACGGAAAAGGUUCUGCCGUCGGGAUUCUGCUGGUACUUAUAGUGCAGUAGAAGGUCCAAGUCCACCGGCUAAAUCUACAAACACAGUAUCACCUGCUCCACCAGCUGCAACAUCCGCUUCAACUGUACCAGCAUCUCAAUCAGGUACUCGUUCGUUUGCUCCGGAACUGGCCAGUUCCCAAGCUGCCUUCACACCUAACACUACUUCCGAAGCACUGCUGACACAACAGGACUUGGCAAGAUCAGAUGAACCUCAUGAGCAUUGUCGGUGUCAAAAACGGCGGAUCUCGGAUAGGGGGUCCCGAUCUGUGCGUCAAGGCUGA
rnacentral:rRNA from 1 species